UACGUAGGGUGCGAGCGUUGUCCGGAAUUAUUGGGCGUAAAGAGCUUGUAGGCGGUUUGUCGCGUCUGCUGUGAAAAUCCGGGGCUCAACCCCGGACUUGCAGUGGGUACGGGCAGACUAGAGUGUGGUAGGGGGAGACUGGAAUUCCUGGUGUAGCGGUGAAAUGCGCAGAUAUCAGGAAGAACACCAAUGGCGAAAGCAGCUUUCUGGGACGGUACUGACGCUGAGACGCGAAAGCGUGGGGAGCGAACAGG
rnacentral:rRNA from 1 species